rnacentral:rRNA from 1 species
AGCUCGCACGGGUGGUUUCGGCCAUCAGUGGCGGACGGGUGAAUAACGCGUAGGAACGUGUCCAGAGGUGGGGGACAACCCCGGGAAACUGGGGCUAAUACCGCAUGGGGGCUGAGGCCCAAAGCCGAGAGGCGCCAUUGGAGCGGCCUGUGUCCGAUUAGGUAGUUGGUGGGGUAUAGGCCUACCAAGCCUGUUAUCGGUAGCUGGUCUGAGAGGACAACCAGCCACACUGGGACUGAGACACGGCCCAUACUCCACGGGAGGCACCAGUGGGGAAUAUUGGACAAUGGGCGAAAGCCUGAUCCAUCAAUGCCGCGUGGGUGAAGAAGGUCUUCGGAUCGUAAAGCCCUUUCGGCGGGGACGAUGAUGACGGUACCCGUAGAAGAAGCUCCGGCUAACUUCGUGCCAGCAGCCGCGGUAAUACGAAGGGGGCUAGCGUUGCUCGGAAUUACUGGGCGUAAAGGGCGCGUAGGCGGCGGCCCAAGUCAGGCGUGAAAUUCCUGGGCCUCAACCUGGGGACUGCGCUUGAUACUGGGUUGCUUGAGGAUGGAAGAGGCUCGUGGAAUUCCCAUUGUAGAGGUGAAAUUCCUACCAUAU